GCCUCGAUAGCGCAGUAGGCAGCGCGUCAGUCUCAUAUCUGAAGGUCGUGAGUUCGAUCCUCACUCGGGGCA
rnacentral:tRNA from 1 species